AUGAGUGAUGAAUCUGUGGAGUGGCGUUUUACGGGCUUCUAUGGUUAUCCAGCAUGGAACGAAAAACAUUUAUCUUGGGAUGACCUUCGCCAAUUACAUUCCAAUGCUAUUUAUCCAUGGGUGGUUAUUGGAGAUCUUAAUGAAAUCCUCUACUCUAGUGAAAAAGAAGGGGGCAAUGCUUGACCGAAUGUAAUGAUGCAACACUUUAGGAAUUGUUUGAGUGAUUGUAACUUGGCUGAUAUGGGCUGUAUUGGGGAUUCUUUCACUUGGAGAAGAGGGGACAUUAGAGAAAGGCUGGACAGAGCUGUAUGUAAUGUGCAGCGGGCAAGGAAGUUCCCACGUGCUGCGGUUGUCAAUGGGGAUCAUGUACAUUCUGACCAUCGUCCUUUAGUUCUUAGUACUGAUUAUUUUGAUAGUAAUCUCUUUAAUUGUCCGAGCGGCCGUGUGAAUUUUCUUUCAAGCGAGAUGGCUAAAAGAAGACACAGUGGAGCAAACUGUGAAGACUGCUUGGGAAAAGGCAAAAUUGGCGGGUAUCGGCCCAUCUCUAGCCGCUCGGACUAA
rnacentral:rRNA from 1 species